AGAAUGGAAGCUGCGUGUGGGCAUGGCUUAGUUUUGUCCACUGCUGGAUCUCAGCAUCCAAAACAGUCUACCCCCUGAUGUCUCAGUAUACUGGCUUGCGGCACAUCAGGCAAAUGAACCUAUCAGAUAACAACGGCAGAUCAGAUGCCUGAGCAUUCAGAAGCAACAGCUGUGGAGCCCCCGUGGGUUCAGAAGGCCUGGUUCCCGUCUCCAGAAGCCUGGCUCUCCUCCCUCCUGGGCCCACUACUUUGGCUUCUUGUUCCUACGUACAAGGAGUUGCCAAGAAGGCAACUCUUCCCCUGCCUGAAGCCAAAGGAAUGAAACAGACUAGGGCGGGAGAGGCGGCCAUCCACCGUCAUUAGUUGCGGCCAUCAGUAACAGCAACAGGACACGGAACCUAAGGCUGUAUCCAUCCUGGGCCUCCAGGGAAACGUCAGCGGGAGCGGUACUAAGGAAGUGCUCAUCUCUUAGAGACAAAGGCCCAUGGAGGGGAACAGUAACCAUCCCCUCCCAAUUCAGAAAAUGUUAACAUAAGCACUUCAUUUCUCAUGCAGAUAACCACAUUAGUCUAUUAAUAAAAAAGAAAGAGAAAGAAAGAAAAAAAAAAAGAAAAAGGAAUCCAUGCCAGCAGGGUAUAGGAAUUGGUCUAUAGGAGAAAGGGU
rnacentral:lncRNA from 1 species